rnacentral:rRNA from 1 species
AGAGUUUGAUCCUGGCUCAGAAUCAACGCUGGCGGCGUGCCUAACACAUGCAAGUCGCACGAGAAAGGGACUUCGGUCCUGAGUACAGUGGCGCACGGGUGAGUAACACGUGAAUCAUCUACCUUCGAGUGGGGAAUAACUGAGAGAAAUCUUAGCUAAUACCGCAUAAAACCUACGGGUCAAAGCAGCAAUGCGCUUGAAGAGGAGUUCGCGGCAGAUUAGUUAGUUGGCGGGGUAAUGGCCCACCAAGACGAUGAUCUGUAUCCGGCCUGAGAGGGCGCACGGACACACUGGAACUGAAACACGGUCCAGACUCCUACGGGAGGCAGCAGUGGGGAAUUUUGCGCAAUGGGGGAAACCCUGACGCAGCAACGCCGCGUGGAGGAUGAAAUCCCUUGGGAUGUAAACUCCUUUCGAUAGGGAAGAUAAUGACGGUACCUAUAGAAGAAGCCCCGGCUAACUUCGUGCCAGCAGCCGCGGUAAUACGAGGGGGGCAAGCGUUGUUCGGAAUUAUUGGGCGUAAAGGGUGCGUAGGCGGUUUGACAAGUCUUAUGUGAAAUCUAUGGGCUCAACCCAUAGUCUGCAUGGGAAACUGUCGGGCUUGAGUAUGGGAGAGGUGAGUGGAAUUUCCGGUGUAGCGGUGAAAUGCGUAGAUAUCGGAAGGAACACCUGUGGCGAAAGCGGCUCACUGGACCAUAACUGACGCUGAUGCACGAAAGCUAGGGGAGCAAACAGGAUUAGAUACCCUAGUAGUCC